UAAUUAUUUUCAUAACAAAAACUGAGUAUUGAAGCAAAUCUUGCUAAUUCCAAUUAGCCCCAAUCUCUUCAAAUCCAACUCUCUCACGCCUCUCUCUUCAUUUGACUUCAACUUCAACACCACAUUUACAAACACCCAGAUAUGUGAGAUUCACUAAUUCACACCGGAGAAGAGAACCCAGCACAAAGAACCCUAAAUCGUCUCCGACUUAGAACCCUAAACCUUGUCCAACUCCUCUUGUCCUGGCGAUAGAGCCCUAGAAAGGUAGCUACAUCCUACAAUUGGUCAAAAUCUUUGCAUCUUUCGGGAUAAACAAGCCCCAUCGGAGCUCAUUAACGUUGUAAACAAUAUCGAGAUGAGGUAUUUUACCCUUUCUCUUCUCUCACCUGUCGAUUUGCUUAUCCCACUAACAUAGAUCGGGUUUGUUUCUUUGUUUUCUUUCAAGAUCUAACUUUUGAGAGCUAAUGUGGUACGCAUUGAAACCUAGAAGUGGUUGAUGGUGUCUACCUGAAGAGCUUCGGUUGAAGCUUCAAGAGUUUUGUAUUUUUCCAGAAUUCCCAAAUUGUAAAAGGUCCAUAUCUUCCUAGUUCAAUUUUUUUAUUACUCAAACUUAAACUUGGGUAAGAAUAUUUUGUGUUUGUUCUUUUCAUUUCUUUCUAUAUUCUAAGUAGUUUACAAAUCAUAUUGCUCGUGAAACAAUGUCACUAAAUAUUUUUUUUCUACAUAAGGUUUAUGCUUCUUCAUUUCUUUCUAUGUUUUAAUUAGUUUGCAAAUUUUAUUAUGGUAUUUUAGGUUUCAUCGUGAAGCUAGAAAUGUAUUCUAUUUGCUAUCGAGUUCGAAUCUUUUUUCCAAGGGUGAGAUUUGAUUGGGGAAAACAAUGCAUUGUUGGUAGAAAGCAUAUCACCUAAGAAGUUGACUCAAGAAUUUAUUUUAUUUUAGGUUUCAGAUUUUCAUAGGAUGAUGACAAGAGGGCAACAAGAUCAGCUUUUCUUCAUUGUUGAUCUUUACAAACGUAAUCUGUAUCCUCAAAUAAUAGAUACAAGGAUUAUAAAUCUGUAGCCACUAAACUAGUUAUUUUAUGAACUAAUUUUCUGCAAGUAAUACAAGAAUCAUUGCUUCAUGUUCUGAUUUAGCGUUGAAGUACAACCAGAUCAAGUGUUUUUGGAACUUGAAUUGCUUCCACAUAGGACAGUAACACCAAACAGC
rnacentral:lncRNA from 1 species